rnacentral:rRNA from 1 species
AUUGAACGCUGGCGGCAUGCUUUACACAUGCAAGUCGAACGGCAGCACGGGGGCAACCCUGGUGGCGAGUGGCGAACGGGUGAGUAAUGCAUCGGAACGUAUCCUUAAGUGGGGGAUAACGCAUCGAAAGAUGCGCUAAUACCGCAUAAUCUCUGAGGAGAAAAGCAGGGGAUCGCAAGACCUUGCGCUUUUGGAGCGGCCGAUGUCUGAUUAGCAGUUGGUGAGGUAAGGCUUACCAAGGCUUCGAUCAGUAGCUGGUCUGAGAGGACGACCAGCCACACUGGGACUGAGACACGGCCCAGACUCCUACGGGAGGCAGCAGUGGGGAAUUUUGGACAAUGGGGCAACCCUGAUCCAGCCAUGCCGCGUGAGUGAAGAAGGCC